rfam:Monodelphis domestica chromosome 8, whole genome shotgun sequence.
CGGAGGCAAAGUUCUGGGACACUCAGACUCUGAUUAGGAUAGAAGUCAGUGCACUACAGAACUUUGUCUCCGG